GAUGAACGCUGGCGGCGUGCCUAAUACAUGCAAGUCGAGCGAACAGACGAGGAGCUUGCUCCUCUGACGUUAGCGGCGGACGGGUGAGUAACACGUGGAUAACCUACCUAUAAGACUGGGAUAACUUCGGGAAACCGGAGCUAAUACCGGAUAAUAUAUUGAACCGCAUGGUUCAAUAGUGAAAGACGGUUUUGCUGUCACUUAUAGAUGGAUCCGCGCCGCAUUAGCUAGUUGGUAAGGUAACGGCUUACCAAGGCAACGAUGCGUAGCCGACCUGAGAGGGUGAUCGGCCACACUGGAACUGAGACACGGUCCAGACUCCUACGGGGGGCAGCAGUAGGGAAUCUUCCGCAAUGGGCGGAAGCCUGACGGAGCAACGCCGCGUGAGUGAUGAAGGUCUUCGGAUCGUAAAACUCUGUUAUUAGGGAAGAACAAAUGUGUAAGUAACUAUGCACGUCUUGACGGUACCUAAUCAGAAAGCCACGGCUAACUACGUG
rnacentral:rRNA from 1 species